rnacentral:rRNA from 1 species
AGGAAAAGAAACCAACAGGGAUUGCCUCAGUAACGGCGAGUGAAGCGGCAAAAGCUCAAAUUUGAAAUCUGGUACCUUUGGUGCCCGAGUUGUAAUUUGAAGAUAGUUUUCUGGUGCUGGCCCUUGUCUAUGUUCCUUGGAACAGGACGUCACAGAGGGUGAGAAUCCCGUCUGGCGGGGUGUCCAGUGCUUUGUAGAUUUCUAUCGACGAGUCGAGUUGUUUGGGAAUGCAGCUCUAAGUGGGUGGUAAAUUCCAUCUAAAGCUAAAUAUUGGCGAGAGACCGAUAGCGAACAAGUACAGUGAUGGAAAGAUGAAAAGAACUUUGAAAAGAGAGUGAAAAAGUACGUGAAAUUGUUGAAAGGGAAGGGUAUUAGAUCAGACUUGGUGUUUUGUGAUUAUCUUCCCUUCUUGGGUUGUGCACUCGCAUUUCACUGGGCCAGCAUCGGUUCGGGUGGUAAGAUAAUGACAUUGGAACGUGGCACUACCUUCGGGUGGUGUGUUAUAGCCCUUGUUGAUGUUGCCUACCUGGACCGAGGACUGCGGCUUUUGCCUAGGAUGCUGGCGUAAUGAUCUAACACCGCCCGUCUUG